rnacentral:rRNA from 1 species
UACGGAGGAUGCAAGCGUUAUCCGGAAUGAUUGGGCGUAAAGCGUCCGCAGGUGGCUGUGUAAGUCUGCUGUCAAAGAGCGAAGCUCAACUUCGUAAAGGCAGUGGAAACUACACGGCUAGAGUGCGUUCGGGGCAGAGGGAAUUCCAGGUGUAGCGGUGAAAUGCGUAGAUAUCUGGAGGAACACCGGUGGCGAAGGCGGCGUCCUGGACCAACACUGACACUGAUGAGCGAAAGGCAGGGGAGCAAACGGG